rnacentral:rRNA from 1 species
UACUCGAGUGGCGAACGGGUGAGUAACACGUGGGUGAUCUGCCCUGCACUUCGGGAUAAGCCUGGGAAACUGGGUCUAAUACCGGAUAGGAGCCAUUUUUAGUGUGAUGGUUGGAAAGUUUUUUCGGUGUAGGAUGAGCUCGCGGCCUAUCAGCUUGUUGGUGGGGUAAUGGCCUACCAAGGCGGCGACGGGUAGCCGGCCUGAGAGGGUGGACGGCCACAUUGGGACUGAGAUACGGCCCAG